UACGUAGGGUGCAAGCGUUAAUCGGAAUUACUGGGCGUAAAGCGUGCGCAGGCGGCUUUGCAAGACAGAUGUCGAAACUCCCCGGGCUUAACCUGGGAACGUGCAUUUGUGACUGCAUGGGCUGGAGUGCGGCAGAGGGGGAUGGAAUUCCGCGUGUAGCAGUGAAAUGGCGUAGGAUAUGCGGAGGAACACCGAUGGCGAAAG
rnacentral:rRNA from 1 species